UCAAGCCCACACAGACGACUUCCUUAUUUUUUGUGUUCGUUUUGUUCCAAUUUGGAUUCAUCUACUCGGAUUCGCUACCCUGCAAGAGUGUAGUACUUCAGGGAGUUGAGCCAGAUGGUUCCGUAUCCAUUUACAAAUAUCAAGGAUGGUUGAAUAUUUUCAUUUCCGACGCGUUCACAUUCAAAACGCAGGCAUAUCUCAUCGGAUGGCAAAUGUUUAACCUAUGCAACAGCGGCAGUUAUUAUUUGGACGUCUUCAGGCCCGUCCCAGGGGCGAACCUAACCCUUGACCUGGUACAUUCUACGAAAGUUGUAAAGCCCCCAAAGGGGAACGGAACCGUACUUGUGACAACGCCCUUUAUGGUCCAACCCGGCGAUUGUAUUGGUGUCCACGCCAACAGAAUAACGCCUUACGGUCUUGCGGUUAGGAAGAUGGAGGCAGGAUCCACGGACUGGCCUAUGAUUUUUAGCAGGGAUACCAGCGACUUCUUCAGUACGACUGCGAGGGUGAAUGUAAAGGGCAUGGAAGAGGCUCAGAGGAGCAUUGCGCUCAGGGCUAUUCUUAUUAAAGCGGAGCAGAUAAAUGGGGACGGGUGUGACCAGUCCUUCACCAGGCUCGAGACCCAAUCCACCAUCAUGACAAAGCUGAUGAACU